CUGCAGAUUACAGAUACCAUUCUUUUGUAUGUUAAAGAUAAAGCUAUUAAACAACAGAUUUUAGUUGGUAAACUGGUAAUAUCCAAUUGCGACAGGGAAUAGAUUCCAGCGUGAACUGAACUCAACUUCAGUUUGUACAGAGGUGACUGGGAGUUUUAAAGGAAGAAGGAGGGAACAGAAAGGGGGCGAGUUGGAGCUCAGUAGAAUGAGGGAAGUGAAAAAUUACAAAAAGCAGAAGGAAGAAUUGGUCCAUUUGAAAUCCACCUGGAUUUGCUAACCUGGCACUUGUUGAAAUUAGGCUCUUACCCUCCUACAGAGACUGAGAGACAGGGGUCCUUCAGGUGUUGGCUGGAACAAAUUCUUUGGGCAGCCUUGAGUUUUUCAGGCAGGCCCUCUAAAAAAACUCUUAGUGUCAUCCUAAGUAUGUGACCUUGAGCUGUUAGAGACUUAGAAUUUUGUUCAAGUAUUUAUAGGGCAAAGUUGAUAGACCUAGUUGAAAAGAAGGCAUAAAGGAGCCUAACUGGAAUUUGGGGUAAAGGAGAAAAUCUUUUAAAUUUAGUACUACUGUGCUUCAUUUUAAAUUAUUUUACUUAAGUUUCACAGCCUUAUUCCCAAGAGAUACCUCUACAAAUCUAAAUUCUCUUGGCAGCUUUAAAUAUUAUUUUAUUUUUAUUAAAAUUUAAAAAAAAGUAUUUUUGAGAGAGACAGCUCGUUUUCCUAUGUGAUCUCAAUUAUUUUUACACCUAAGAGCAACCCAGUGCCUAUUCAGAUUUCCUCGACAGUCUCCAAAGCCUUUGGCAGCUGUUGUUUAUUUAAUCGGGAUUUGAUCGAGGACCACGUAUUGUAUUUGGCGGUAAACUUCAAGUUUAAGCCCUAACGUUUGGCGAUUCUGAGAAAACCGGGGAAGGAGAGAUCGUAAAGAUCACAUCUUUCAACUGUUCAGAUAGAGGAUACGCGCCAGGUCACUUCAAGGCGCGGGAGCGGAGCUUUACGGGAAAUGUAGUCUGGUGGUAUGGACCUGGCUCGUCGCGCAGCAUCCUGGGAACCGGUCCGGGCUCCAUCUGCGCAUGUACUUAUCUUAUCCUACCUCUUUGCGUUAGUGCUUUCCGCGGUCCGGUGGUCAGGUGGCGCGCUUGCCUGGGUUCCAACCUCAAACUCUUAGAAGCUGUAAAGAAAUUGGAUGUUAGUGGUGACUUGUCAGGUGACACCUAUUUUGUGGCAGAGCCAGGAGGAAAACACAGUGCAGUUCACUUUCUCACUGGCCUCCCAGCUGAGUCUGCACAGCCCUCUGCACUUUCCCAAGAGCAGCAGCAUGAACACAUCUCAGGUGAGCUCUUUCUCCUUUCUUUCUCCACAUUGCACUGUAUUGAUUUUAUUUUAUUUACUUAUUUAUUUAUUAAAAAUUUUUUAUGUUUAUUUAUUUUUGAGAUAGAAACAGAGCAUGAAUGGGGGAGGGGCAGAGAGAGAGAGAGAGAGACACAGAAUCUGAAACAGGCUCCAGGCUCUGAGCUGUCAGCACAGAGCCCGAUGUGGGGCUCGAACCCACCAACCGUGAGAUCAUGA
ensembl:lncRNA